rnacentral:rRNA from 1 species
CGGCGGACGGGUGAGUAACACGUGGAUAACCUACCUAUAAGACUGGGAUAACUUCGGGAAACCGGAGCUAAUACCGAUAAUAUAUUGAACCGCAUGGUUCAAUAGUGAAAGACGGUUUUGCUGUCACUUAUAGAUGGAUCCGCGCCGCAUUAACUAGUUGGUAAGGUAACGGCUUACCAAGGCAACGAUGCGUAGCCGACCUGAGAGGGUGAUCGGCCACACUGGAACUGAGACACGGUCCAGACUCCUACGGGAGGCAGCAGAU